rnacentral:rRNA from 1 species
ACACAUGCAAGUCGAGGGGCAGCAUGGUCUUAGCUUGCUAAGGCCGAUGGCGACCGGCGCACGGGUGAGUAACACGUAUCCAACCUGCCGUCUACUCUUGGACAGCCUUCUGAAAGGAAGAUUAAUACAAGAUGGCAUCAUGAGUCCGCAUGUUCACAUGAUUAAAGGUAUUCCGGUAGACGAUGGGGAUGCGUUCCAUUAGAUAGUAGGCGGGGUAACGGCCCACCUAGUCUUCGAUGGAUAGGGGUUCUGAGAGGAAGGUCCCCCACAUUGGAACUGAGACACGGUCCAAACUCCUACGGGAGGCAGCAGUGAGGAAUAUUGGUCAAUGGGCGAGAGCCUGAACCAGCCAAGUAGCGUGAAGGAUGACUGCCCUAUGGGUUGUAAACUUCUUUUAUAAAGGAAUAAAGUCGGGUAUGGAUACCCGUUUGCAUGUACUUUAUGAAUAAGGAUCGGCUAACUCCGUGCCAGCAGCCGCGGUAAUACGGAGGAUCCGAGCGUUAUCCGGAUUUAUUGGGUUUAAAGGGAGCGUAGAUGGAUGUUUAAGUCAGUUGUGAAAGUUUGCGGCUCAACCGUAAAAUUGCAGUUGAUACUGGAUAUCUUGAGUGCAGUUGAGGCAGGCGGAAUUCGUGGUGUAGCGGUGAAAUGCUUAGAUAUCACGAAGAACUCCGAUUGCGAAGGCAGCCUGCUAAGCUGCAACUGACAUUGAGGCUCG